CGAGAACACGACGCAGUGCCUUUGUCACUGGGUGACGUCCAGUGACGCCUUCAUAGAGGCGGCGAAAGAAGUACAGUCGAGAGAGAGUCCGCGCUUCCGACGACGAUGCUGCGGUGGUCGCGCCUGCUUCGGGAAAUGGCCCCGGAGCUGCAGCUGGAAUACAUCCCGGUCAUCUUCACCCGCACAAUUCUCGGUCCGCAGGGAGGCUUUGCCGGCGAGGAGCGUCUGAUCAAGCGCGAGGUGGCACAGAAGUACAUGUCCGAGGGGAACGCAGUGACGCCGAACGCGGAGUUCCGUCAAGGUGUGUGGUGCUACAACCCCGACUCGGAGCAGUACGACCGCUUCGUUGAGCGAAACGCAGAGUUUCUCGACUUUGCAGCCCGCAAGCGGCAGUGGCUCGACGUGUACUGGCGCGUAAACACGGGCUACCUGCUCUUCGGCCGCCAGAGCUGGGGCCAAGGGUGGCUACUGAACUGCCCUCUGCGCAAGAAGGAUGUCGCACAGAAGCUGUGGGAGCAGUACAAGGUGCGUGUCGAUCCGAGACUCAUUGAGUUCAGGGAGAAGGAUCGGCGAACAGGCAUUCAAGACUUAGGCCACAACUGGUGCUGGCUGUACUUGCCAGGAGCCGAAGAGCUGGCGAUCGACCGCGAAGUUUACGACAACAAACGCGUCAAGGUGCGUAUGCACAUUCGUAAGAUGAGUAGUUAUGGUGCGCUUUACUGAGGAGAAACAUGGGCGACGCACACGUGUGGUUGCUCUUGUGUUUGGUGGUGGUGUGCGAACUUGAAGGGCAUGCCACCUUCCCCCUUUUCUUCUCCCCUCUGUGUUUGUGUGCGGUGAGGUGGCGGAGGCGACGCUCUUUACACGUCUUAAGACGAAAAGAAACGCAGGUGCGUGUUUGUGAAGGUGCUGCUUUGACGUGCACUUGAAUCCGGAUGACGCGGCUGGGUGCACACACUGCACACGCACAAACGGAUUGAGUCACGCACGACGAGGUGAGGUAGAGAUGCAGGUGCGAACCGGGAGAACAUCGCGCACACUGACCGUGGCGCAUGCAUUCGGAAUCACAGAGAGCACGUGGCUCCACUCCUCGCCGCAGCCUCUGCCUUUGCUCUCCCGUUUUUCGUUGCGAUGCGCUUAGCAGCGCAUGCAUGUUUUCCCCCUUAAUGGCGUUUUCGGCUUCUGACCUGGCGACGCAUCGUGCUGGCUGCGCAGGCUAUCACACUCGACUCC
rnacentral:misc_RNA from 1 species